rnacentral:rRNA from 1 species
ACGCUCGACACUACGAGGCAGCAGUCGGGAAUAUUGCGCAAUGGAGGGAACUCUGACGCAGUGACGCCGCGUAUAGGAAGAAGGUUUUCGGAUUGUAAACUAUUGUCGUUAGGGAAGAGAAAGGACAGUACCUAAGGAGGAAGCUCCGGCUAACUACGUGCUAGCAGCCGCGGUAAUCUGAGCGGGCUGGCAAGGC